rnacentral:rRNA from 1 species
UACGGGGGGGGCAAGCGUUGUUCGGAAUUACUGGGCGUAAAGGGCUCGUAGGUGGCCAACUAAGUCAGACGUGAAAUCCCUCGGCUUAACCGGGGAACUGCGUCUGAUACUGGAUGGCUUGAGUUUGGGAGAGGGACGCGGAAUUCCAGGUGUAGCGGUGAAAUGCGUAGAUAUCUGGAGGAACACCGGUGGCGGAGGCGGCGUCCUGGACCAAUACUGACACUGAUGAGCGAAAGCCAGGGGAGCAAACGGG